rnacentral:misc_RNA from 1 species
AGUUGAAGAUACAUCCAAGAGUGCCAGCAAAUCCCCAGCAAAAUUUCAUGUGAAGAAAGGCCUGAAGCUGAAGCAGUUAAAGCGCAGUGGUAAGAAAAAAGGGAAAUCCAAGCCUGCUGCUGAAGCUUCAGUGGACGCAAUGGUAGAAUGAUUAGGAGGCUACAUGGUAUGAUAUGCCAAACCUUGUAAUAUUUCAGAUAGGACGCAAGCAUAAAAUACCUUUGUGCUUUAGGACAUUGGUUUGUAAUUCUAAAAUUCAUUUCAUUUGUAAGACUUGAGUCCCUUUUUUGGUUUGUUAUUUCCUAUUAAAGGACUACUGCUCAUAAAUG